AUCAUAUUUGGUAUGUUUUAUGCACUAUUGUUUCAUGUAUGUUUUGAUUCUCUUUACGCUCUUUCUCCCUCCUCUGGUGUUUACAAUUGAGUACUUGUUGGCAAUGUUCAUGGUUUCCUAGAAAUUUCUUAGGUGGUUGUUCUAGUCAUCUUUUCAUCACUUUUUUCAGAAGACAUGACAAGUACAGCUUUGAGGAGAAAAAGAUUUUUUUUCUUGGUUUCAGGGUUUCAGUCCAUGGUGAGUUGAGCACAUUGUUGUCUGCCCAUGGUGUGGCAGUAAGUACAUGAUGCCUGAAGGGUGUUGCAUUGGAAAACAAGUCCAGAUGUUGCCACCAAGAAGCAGAGAGAGCUUGAGUGCAAGUCAUCAGGGAUACUAUAAUCCCUAAGGUUGUGCCCCUGGUGACAUACUUUCUCUAGCAAUACCAUACCUGCCUCAAGUUACCACUCAUGAAUGUAUCCAAAUUAUCAGUCUAUCAAAUGGUGUAAUCCACGAAUUGGUUUUCAGCUCUCAUAAACUCAUCAUUUCAACUCUGAAAUGUAUAACACAUGAGCAUUUGGGGGACACCUCAUAUCAAAAAUGUUACUCUGCUGUUCAUUCUUUCCAUGCUCUCUUUACCUGCAUGUCAUUCCAGAUAAUCUUCUUAAGUUUGCAAACUGUUUUGCAUGUUCUGAUCCACUGUUCAUCAUCUUAGGGUUCUAUUCACUUCAGUACUGAGGUUUUGAGUGCCCAGACUCUCAUUUGGUUUCUCUUGUAAUUUCCAUCUUUGUAUUAAUAUUCUUCCUUUGGUGAGUAGCCAUUCUCUGGGUUUCCUCUUAUAUUGUGUUCAAAGUUUUCUUUAGUGGGGCUGGGGCUCAGUGGCAGAGCGCUUGCCUAGCAUGUGUGAGGCACUAAAUUCAAUUCUGACUACCACAUAUCAAUAAAUAAAAUAAAGGUCCAUUGACAUCUUAAAAAAACUUCUAAAAGAUUUCAUUAGCUCUUUAAGCAUGAUUUAUAUAGUUAACUUAAAUUCUUUGUGUAGCCAGUCUUAUGACAUUUACACAAUAUCCUUGAAAUAGGGCAGAGUGUCAGAAAUACUGAAGGUAUGAGUAAUGUAAGAAAUAAGGACAAGACACAGGAAUAAGUGAAAAGUGGGGGCACAGUGGGAUGAUUCAGUUCUGAUGGAGUCCAUGCACUUUAUUCAAGUGAGUCAGAAUGCCAGUGGUAUUCAGAGUGAAAGACUUCCAGAGGAAAACAGGAAGAAGAUGGUAAAGACAACUUGGUUGGGGCUUAGCAGGUUAUGACCAUCUCCUGUGUUUGAAACUAGGACUACCUGACCCAAUGGACAGGGUGUCAGCAUAAUCUGAGCAGUCUUGAAUUGGUGGAAUUUCAUUGAGUGUUCCCAGAAAAGCAACCCCCUUGAUAUGGCUCAAAUAACCCAUAUUUCAUUCACAGCCUCCAGCAUCUCCUCCUACUUAAUUUUUUAAAUGUAAGUGUUGUGUGGUUCCAUGAGGUUCUUGGAUCUUUUUUCUGAGGGUGUAGCAAUCUAUUGUAAUAACACAGAAGAAAAUUAGUAGCAAACACAUCAUUCCAAAAAUAAAGCAUGCAGAAUGUUUCAACAUAUUCCCAGGAUUAAAGCCAUUUAAGUCAUGAAGUAUUUCUUAAGCUACAGAUGCAGGAUCCAUGAGAUUGAUCCUGCUUUUCUGAAUAUCCUAGAUGUGAUGAUAUCACCCCAUGAGGUCCACACUGUUGUUAUUGCUAUGCAAAAUGCCCACCAGAUGAUUUUUUGCCUUUAUCCAAUCCCAUUGGGAAGAAUUAUAUUUGGCUGCAGUAACACAGACAUAGCCAGCAUGGCAUCUAAGCCUUUGCUUAAAUUUGAGAGUGGAAAGUUAAUUACAACAGUAGCUUUCAAAGAAUUUAAUUUAGUCUCAAUCUUUUCAUCAAUAUUUACCUGAUUCACAAGGAAUUGGAAGUAUUUUGAGCCACAUUAUAAAGAAAAUGAGCAUUUUGAAUGUUUUGAGAUAAGGAUAAAGAAGGUGUCACAGUUGAAACUAUACAGGAUGUUAUAUAAUAUUUUUCUGUUUUUCUUCUUGCUCUUAUAUUUCCAGAAGUUAAACCAUAAGGAGAUUGAGCACUGGCCCACAGGCCACAGUUGGAGCCCUCUUCACAUUUCCUGUCUAUAAAGUCAGGCAUAGGGCUGUUUAUAUAAUGGAGAAAAUCCAAGUCAACCAUUAAAUGCCACAGAUCUUUUUGGAUGCCAUCAUCACUUGAAGUCAGAAUAUUACCACCAAAUCCUCCAGGAAUCAUGGAAUCCUGACAUUGCUGUCCCUUACCAGUUCUUUGAGAACAAUAAAAAGUAUAUCUACCAUUUCUAGAGAUUUUAUGUUGCACUGGGAAGACAUUUGCACAUUCCAUCCAUUUAGGAAAGCUGCUAAGUUCCAUUGCAGAAUGAUUAUUGCUGAUCAGUGGAAGGUGCAGGCUAAAUAUGGAGGCAAGCGCUUGGCCCUGCACCUGUGCACCCUGAGGAAUGGAAUCUGCAGAUACCUCCUCCUUUCAGUCCUCACUCCACAGAGUAGCACAGACACCACAGCAGAAGGCAGCAGCCAUGAGAACAUUUCUCUACUAAAUGCUUUUUCUUCACUCUUGACAGUCAACUCCCACCAUGUAUAGCUUUGCCCCAGGAGAAGUUCUGCUGGGACCCACUGCCCUUCUCUGGCCCAGGCUUAGAGAAGAGAUUCUGUGGUCCAUGGAAGAGUUGAGGACUGGAUGGGACCCAUUGAGGAAGACUCACAAGAGUGCAGGAUGAUACCAGUGUGCUUUCAUUAUAGGACCUAGGGUUAUGUGACCCUGAAUCUCUUAAUUUUCUAUGA